GAACGCGAAGAACCUUACCAGGUCUUGACAUCCCUCUGACCGCUCUAGAGAUAGAGCUUUCCUUCGGGACAGAGGUGACAGGUGGUGCAUGGUUGUCGUCAGCUCGUGUCGUGAGAUGUUGGGUUAAGUCCCGCAACGAGCGCAACCCCUAUUGUUAGUUGCCAUCAUUCAGUUGGGCACUCUAGCGAGACUGCCGGUAAUAAACCGGAGGAAGGUGGGGAUGACGUCAAAUCAUCAUGCCCCUUAUGACCUGGCUACACACGUGCUACAAUGGCUGGUACAACGAGUCGCAAGCCGGUGACGGCAAGCUAAUCUCUUAAAGCCAGUCUCAGUUCGGAUUGUAGGCUGCAACUCGCCUACAUGAAGUCGGAAUCGCUAGUAAUCGCGGAUCAGCACGCCGCGGUGAAUACGUUCCCGGGUCUUGUACACACC
rnacentral:rRNA from 1 species